rnacentral:rRNA from 1 species
GAUGAACGCUGGCGGCGUGCUUAACACAUGCAAGUCGAGCGCGAAAGGGGGGGGCAACUCCCCCGAGUAGAGCGGCGCACGGGUGAGUAACGCGUGGGUAACCUACCUCCCGGCGGGGGAUAACUACUCGAAAGGGUGGCUAAUACCGCAUGAGACCACGGGGUCUUCGGAUCCUGAGGCCAAAGGUCGCCCCGGCUUGCCGGGGCGGUCACCGGGUGAGGGGCCCGCGUCCGAUUAGCUAGUUGGUGAGGUAACGGCUCACCAAGGCUACGAUCGGUAGCUGGUCUGAGAGGAUGAUCAGCCACACUGGAACUGGAACACGGUCCAGACUCCUACGGGAGGCAGCAGUGAGGAAUAUUGCGCAAUGGGGGAAACCCUGACGCAGCAACGCCGCGUGGGUGAAGAAGGCCUUCGGGUCGUAAAGCCCUUUCGGACGGGACGAACGCUCCGCGGUGACAACCCGCGGAGCCUGACGGUACCGUAAGAAGAAGCACCGGCUAACUACGUGCCAGCAGCCGCGGUAA